GGGCGAUUAGCUCAUUUGGCUAGAGCGCGUCAUUGACGUUGACGAGGUGAUAGGUUCGAAUCCUAUAUCGCCCACCA
rnacentral:tRNA from 1 species